rnacentral:misc_RNA from 1 species
AACGCACAUUGCGCCCGCCAGUAUUCUGGCGGGCAUGCCUGUUCGAGCGUCAUUUCAACCAUCAAGCUUCAGGCUUGUGUUGGAGCCCUGCGGCUGCCCGCAGCCUCCUAAAACCAGUGGCGGGCUCGCUAUCACACCGAGUGCAGUAGUUUUCUCUUCGCUCUGGACGUAUAGCGGGUUCCGGCCGUGAAACCCCUCAAAUUUUCAAGGUUGACCUCGGAUCAGGUAGGAAUACCCGCUGAACUUAA